rnacentral:snRNA from 1 species
AGUUGUGAGGGCAACCUGGCUGUGAUAUCUGUCACCCCAUUGAUGGCCAGGGUUGAUUUGGCUGGUCUGGCUGGCUAGGCGGGUGUCCCCUUCCUCCCUCACUGCUCCACGUGCGUCCCUCCCAAAGCUGUGUGCUCGGUCAAAGAGGACAACCUUCCCUGAUAGAGGUGUACCGUUCAUCAGUCAAGGGUAUACGGUAGCUGCGCUCCCCUGCUAGAACAUCCAAAUAAACUCUGUGAUCCUGUGAUCAUUUCUGCUCUACCUCAUUUAUGACUGUUUUGUACUCAGUACUGUCAUUGUCUACCUUAAAAUCACUUCCAACCCACCUGGGAAUUGUU